rnacentral:misc_RNA from 1 species
GGAGUUGCUAAGGGCCCAGCAGCAACAACAGCACCAAUUUCUCCAUCACCAUCAGAACAUGGUUUUUGAUGUAUCCAAUGGGGAUGAUUACUUGAUUCAUCAACACAUGGGGCCCGAUUUCAGGCAGCUGAUCUAGUAACGUAGAGAAAGGGCCGAUUCAGGUUCAUGUGGGAUCUACUGAUGAUUUAGCAGCGAAAUUCGUUAGUGAAUUUCG